rnacentral:lncRNA from 1 species
AAAGUUUAGUUCGAUUAAAACAAGUUACUAUAAACUCCUGAAGAGUCAUUACAUGCCCAUCAAGAGGUUUAUCAUACACUUCUUUUACCAUAGCAAUAUGAUCUCUUUCUAAAGCUUCAUUUUUGUUUUGAAAGUGUUUUAAUUCAUCUUUCGAUAGAUCAUAUUUCUUUUUCAAUAUUUUCAUGUGUGACUUUUUCAUAUGGUCUUGAAUAAAAGUAAUUAAAUCAGAACGGGAUAGUUUAGAAAAUAAUUCAUCCUCUUCUUCAGAAUCUAAACUAGAAUCUGAGUCAGAUUCUGUUUCAGAAGAUGUAAAUGUCAUCCAAGAUAGAUUGACU